rnacentral:rRNA from 1 species
CCUACGGGAGGCAGCAGUGGGGAAUAUUGGGCAAUGGGCGCAAGCCUGACCCAGCAACGCCGCGUGAAGGAAGAAGGCUUUCGGGUUGUAAACUUCUUUUCUCAGGGACGAAGCAAGUGACGGUACCUGAGGAAUAAGCCACGGCUAACUACGUGCCAGCAGCCGCGGUAAUACGUAGGUGGCAAGCGUUAUCCGGAUUUACUGGGUGUAAAGGGCGUGUAGGCGGGAAAGCAAGUCAGAUGUGAAAACCAUGGGCUCAACCUGUGGCCUGCAUUUGAAACUGUUUUUCUUGAGUACUGGAGAGGCAGACGGAAUUCCUAGUGGAGCGGUGAAAUGCGUAGAGAUUAGGAGGAACACCAGUGGCGAAGGCGGUCUGCUGGACAGCAACUGACGCUGAGGCGCGAAAGCGUGGGGAGCAAACAGGAUUAGAUACCCGUGUAGUC